CCCAGACUCCUACGGGAGGCAGCAGUGGGGGAUAUUGCACAAUGGGGGAAACCCUGAUGCAGCGACGCCGCGUGAGUGAAGAAGUAUUUCGGUAUGUAAAGCUCUAUCAGCAGGGAAGAAAAAAGACGGUACCUGACUAAGAAGCCCCGGCUAACUACGUGCCAGCAGCCGCGGUAAUACGUAGGGGGCAAGCGUUAUCCGGAUUUACUGGGUGUAAAGGGAGCGUAGACGGCAAUACAAGUCGGAAGUGAAAUACCCGGGCUCAACCUGGGAACUGCUUUGGAAACUGUAUGGCUGGAGUGCUGGAGAGGUAAGCGGAAUUCCUAGUGUAGCGGUGAAAUGCGUAGAUAUUAGGAGGAACACCAGUGGCGAAGGCGGCUUACUGGACAGUAACUGACGUUGAGGCUCGAAAGCGUGGGGAGCAAACAGGAUUAGAUACCCCGGUACUG
rnacentral:rRNA from 1 species